rnacentral:lncRNA from 1 species
UAUGAAGGAUAAUCAUAAACCUGGUGAAAUGCCAUACAUCUGUCAGGUUUGCAAUUACAGAUCAUCAUUAUUUUCUGAGGUAGAGUCUCAUUUUAGAACAUCGCAUGAAAACACUAAGAAUUUGCUAUGUCCAUUCUGCCUCAAAGUUAUUAAAAUUGCCACACCCUAUAUGCAUCAUUACAUGAAGCAUCAGAAAAAGGGAAUACAUCGUUGCACCAAAUGCAGACUGCAAUUUUUGACAUGCAAAGAGAAAAUGGAUCACAAGACUCAACAUCACCGAACAUUUGUAAAACCCAAGCAACUAGAAGGACUGCCCCCUGGAACAAAAGUUACUAUUCGAGCUUCCGUUGCACCUCUUCAAUCGGGAUCUUCAGUUACACCUUCUAUCAGUGCAAGCACUUCUACCCUCCAGCUCUCACCUCCAAGGACUGAAAAUGUAACUGCUAAAAAUCACGUGAAACUGAAUACAAGUACACCAAAUACAACCAUAUCUGAUCCCAGUAAAACUAAUGAGAUCAAGUCUAAUGGAAGUAAAUCUAAAAAC